AACGAACGCUGGCGGCAUGCCUAACACAUGCAAGUCGAACGAGACCUUCGGGUCUAGUGGCGCACGUGUGCGUAACGCGUGGGAACCUGCCCUUAGGUUCGGAAUAACUCCCCGAAAGGGGUGCUAAUACCGGAUAAUGUCUUCGGACCAAAGAUUUAUCGCCGUUGGAUGGGCCCGCGUUGGAUUAGCUAGUUGGUAGUGUAAAAGCCUACCAAGGCGACGAUCCAUAGCUGGUCUGAGAGGAUGAUCAGCCACACUGGGACUGAGACACGGCCCAGACUCCUACGGGAGGCAGCAGUGGGGAAUAUUGGACAAUGGGCGAAAGCCUGAUCCAGCAAUGCCGCGUGAGUGAUGAAGGCCUUAGGGUUGUAAAGCUCUUUUACCCGGGAUGAUAAUGACAGUACCGGGAGAAUAAGCUCCGGCUAACUCCGUG
rnacentral:rRNA from 1 species